rnacentral:rRNA from 1 species
UCGUCUUCGGAUGACAGGAACCGGCGAACGGGUGCGUAACACGUAUGCAAUCUGCCCCUGACUGGAGCAUAGACCCGGGGAAACUCGGGAUUAAUACUCCAUAAUAUUAUGAAAUGGCAUCAUUUUAUAAUCAAAGUUCCGACGGUCAGGGAUGAGCAUGCGGCCCAUUAGCUAGUUGGUGAGGUAAUGGCUCACCAAGGCUACGAUGGGUAGGGGGUCUGAGAGGAUGAUCCCCCACACUGGUACUGAGACACGGACCAGACUCC